GGCGAGAUGGCCGAGCGGUCUAAGGCGCUGGUUUUAGGCACCAGUCUCUCCGGAGGCGUGGGUUCGAAUCCCACUCUCGUCA
rnacentral:tRNA from 1 species